GAGGAAUAUUGGACAAUGGACGAAAGUCUGAUCCAGCUAUGCCGCGUGCAGGAUGACAGCCCUACGGGUUGUAAACUGCUUUUAUACAGGAAGAAAAACCCCGACGUGUCGGGGCUUGACGGUACUGUAAGAAUAAGGAUCGGCUAACUCCGUGCCAGCAGCCGCGGUAAUACGGAGGAUCCAAGCGUUAUCCGGAAUUAUUGGGUUUAAAGGGUCCGCAGGCUGUUUUUUAAGUCAGAGGUGAAAUCCUGCAGCUCAACUGUAGAAUUGCCUUUGAAACUGAAAGACUUGAGUUAUUGUGAAGUGGUUAGAAUGUGUGGUGUAGCGGUGAAAUGCAUAGAUAUCACACAGAAUACCAAUUGCGAAGGCAGAUCACUAACAAUUAACUGACGCUCAGGGACGAAAGCGUGGGUAGCGAACAGG
rnacentral:rRNA from 1 species